GUGGUCAUAAUGUUAUACCUAAUCGGUGUGAUCAAAAGUGUAUAUAUUUACAGUAUGUAUAUAUACACACACACACACACACACUUGCACUAAGUUCGGUAUCGAUAUGGUGCUCCUGGGGGAGCUCGGGAACACCAGGUCGUCUAAGGAGGGGUGAUCCGGCCCAGGUCGGAGACGGAGCAGGUCAAAGCCCCCGUGUUGAUCAGUAGUGGGGUCGCACCUGUGAAUAGACUCUGCAGUGCAGCCUGAGCGAUACAGUGAGACUCAGACUUU
rnacentral:sRNA from 1 species